rnacentral:rRNA from 1 species
CCCUUAGAUGUUCUGGGCCGCACGCGCGCUACACUGACGAAUGCAACGAGCUUAUAACCUUGGCCGAAAGGUCUGGGUAAUCUCCAAAUUUCGUCGUGAUGGGGAUAGAUUAUUGCAAUUAUUAAUCUUCAACGAGGAAUGCCUAGUAAGCGCAAGUCAUCAGCUUGCGUUGAUUACGUCCCUGCCCUUUGUACACACCGCCCGUCGCUCCUACCGAUUGAGUGCUCAGGUGAAUAAUUCGGACUGCAGCAGUGUUUGGAUCCCGAACGCUGCAGCGGAAAGUUUAGUGAACCUUAUCACUUAGAGGAAGGAGAANUCGUANCA